GGGCGAUUGGCGCAGUGGUAGCGCGCUUCCCUGACACGGAAGAGGUCACUGGUUCGAACCCAGUAUCGCCCACGA
rnacentral:tRNA from 1 species